GUGGGGAAUUUUGGACAAUGGGCGCAAGCCUGAUCCAGCAAUGCCGCGUGCAGGAAGAAGGCCUUCGGGUUGUAAACUGCUUUUGUACGGAACGAAAAGGCUCUGGUUAAUACCUGGGGCUCAUGACGGUACCGUAAGAAUAAGCACCGGCUAACUACGUGCCAGCAGCCGCGGUAAUACGUAGGGUGCAAGCGUUAAUCGGAAUUACUGGGCGUAAAGCGUGCGCAGGCGGUGCUGUAAGACAGGCGUGAAAUCCCCGGGCUCAACCUGGGAAUUGCGCUUGUGACUGCAGUGCUGGAGUGCGGCAGAGGGGGAUGGAAUUCCGCGUGUAGCAGUGAAAUGCGUAGAUAUGCGGAGGAACACCGAUGGCGAAGGCAAUCCCCUGGGCCUGCACUGACGCUCAUGCACGAAAGCGUGGGGAGCAAACAGGAUUAGAAACCCCGGUAGUCC
rnacentral:rRNA from 1 species